rnacentral:rRNA from 1 species
UACAGAGGGGGCAAGCGUUGUUCGGAAUUACUGGGCGUAAAGGGCGCGUAGGCGGCCUGCUAAGUCGAACGCGAAAUCCCCGGGCUUAACCCGGGAACUGCGUCCGAUACUGGCUGGCUUGAAUCCGGGAGAGGGAUGCGGAAUUCCAGGUGUAGCGGUGAAAUGCGUAGAUAUCUGGAGGAACACCGGUGGCGAAGGCGGCAUCCUGGACCGGUAUUGACGCUGAUGCGCGAAAGCCAGGGGAGCAAACGGG